rnacentral:lncRNA from 13 species
AUGUCUGAGGGUGUUGUCAGAAAAAUCCAGCCCUUUACCAUUGGGACCAGGCUGUCUGUCCCCUCUGAAGCCAAAUGCCAGGAGAUUGUGGAUGUCUAUCUGCCGAAGUCUGCUGCUCCGAACAAGUUGGAGCUGCAGAACAACCUACACGACCAAAUGUCCCUUUACAUGGGCCAGUCCCAGGGGUGGCCUGAGACUGGGAACUCGGAACUCCCACAAGUGGCCGUUCAGGUCUACGCUUCAACACCAGAGGGACAUCAGGAUGAGAGAGUGGAGGAGGACAGGAAUUCUGUGUCCCCCACUGCAUCCUCUAGGUCCAUCAGGAAGAUUGCUAUAUGCAGGAAUGCCGAGACAGUCCCCGACGUGUCCUUGUGUGACUCUGACCUGGCCACCUCAGUCAGUUCCACGUCGGAGACCAUCCGAAGCAACAGUGUUCACCCAAAACCGCCAUCCUUGAGAGUAGAGGACGACUUGGAUAAGAUAUCCAACUCUCAGUCUAAGGAUGGACAUCAGUACGAGACGCUUGACGUGGAGACCGACCACAAGGGAGAGAAGAGGAAGAGACUGCAACAGAUAGAAGGCAACAAAGUCCCUUCCCGAGAAAACACCGUUAACCAAACCUGCCUGAGGUUCCAGUCACUGUUAAGAAACUAUCACCAAGACCUCAAACUGGCUCUGGACGUCUCCUCCUUCUACCAACAGGCUGACAACAUCAUCUGCACCAUCAACAGGAAGAGAAGCGUCCUGUCUGGAUCCGAUAACCAGGGGAGCUGCGGUCAGACAGAGAUCUACAAUAUUGCCAGCCAAAUCACGAUGCUGAACGAGACUGUUUCACGCCUUUCGGACCUCCACCCUACCCUGGCUGCCAGAGUGACACGGAAACAGGCUGAGGUGCAGGAGAGUUGGGGCCUUCUCCAGGAGGGUAGUGGGAGCGAGUGGCCAGAUUUGCCCACCACCCUUGCCAUAGACUUCUCCUGUGAUGAACCUGGCCCACUGAGUCAAACCAGAGAUCCGGAACAUGAGGCCCAGAGGAUCAUAGGAAAGGACAUCAAAGAGGAACAGAACCCUCUCAAAGGGUUCGAGAACAUGAAAGACUGUGGGAUCCCCAGGAAGCUGACUGUUAGUCAAGUUGAAGAACAGCCUUCCAAAAGCUAUGCCCGAGUCUCCUGUGACACCACCAGCAAUGACUUGACUGGAAGACUGUGUGUGGAGAGGCAAAGAAAGGACCAGACAACCCAUUUGAACACCGGUUUUCCAGGUUGCCAAUCAGAACUUGGUAUUCAGUUGCAAAAUUCUACCACAUCUGCUGAUAAGUUGAAGACUCUGUCAUGGCUGAAAGACAACCUUGCUAUGUCAACCCCCAGCCACCACACAGCCAGUCUGAGUGGUCCAGAGGAAAAGCCAGAGUCAACCCAAGGCCAGCACCAAGAUUGUGUGAAGAUGGAAGACCUCCUUGGCCAAGUGGAAAUGUUAUGGGAAGUUCUGAGGGGAAGACUUCAUAGAAGCAUGAUUUAUUCAAACAGCUCUGAGAGGCUCAAGUUUGAGGGGGAUGACAAUCAUGAGACAGACAAGGAUCGGCUCGAGGGAUGCCUUUCAGAAUACAGUGCAACCACGGAAAACGUGCAAUUCUGGAGCGUCCCAGAUAUCAAGGAUCUCUCUGAGACAUUGGAGGAAAACGACAGAGGAAUGCUGACAGAGCUGCUGAGGUGUCUUGACCAGGAUGAAAACUUUGAUCAUUGUGAGGUAGAGGAACAGACCCUUACUGGACAAAUGGAUGACCAAGGGUGCAUGGACUACCCUAUGGAGGACCUUGGUGAAGCAGUGGAGAAAAGAGGACAUUCCCUCUAUCAAAGUGAAGACACCCAAGAACUUAUGAGUCAGCACUCAACACUGACGCUGCGCAUCAACCAGCUCUUGUCCAGGUGUGCAGAGUUCAGCAUGGACAUUCUGGACACUGAGACGGACAUGGCAGUCAGAUGUGAGCCCUAUAGUUCUGAACUCGAGGGACUGCAGGAGCAACAGGAUGAGCUAGAGAGGGACUAUCAGGUCAUAAAAGAGGAGGUGGAAGAGAUGGAGGGACUGACUUUGCGACUACAGGUCCUCCUACCUGAAAUGCCAGGGGCUUUGGGGGAGGACAUCCAUGCGACCCAGCAUGCUUGGGAGGAGUUGGGCUUGAGCAUGGCAGAGAACCAAUGCAACCUCCAACAAUUUCAGCAACUGCAAGACUUUCUUAGGGCCUACCUGGCCAUGAUCUCAUGGACAGAGGACACACAGACUUGCAUUUUCUCAGAGGCUUCAGUCCAGCAGUGGAGCUUGGCAGAAUUGAGUGUUCCAUCUGAGCUGGAUCUGAGGAUAGAGCAGAAGUUUGACGAGUUUGACAAGCUCGCUGCUGCUGGGCAGAAGAUUAUCAAGGAGCGACAUCACUUGGCAGAUAUUAUAAAGGAGAGGACUGAGGAACUACAAAGCAUUCUGGGAUGGAUCCUGGUAUACUGGAGGGCACAGAAAGACCAGCUGGGUCAGGAGAGGCCAAGCGAUUCAAGAAGAAGUGAUGCCCCUCAAGGAGACGCAACCAGAUUUUCACAAGGUCAACCCCAGAAUCUAUCCUCUCUGGCAGAACACAAGUCCUCUGAAAGUCUGUCCACAAAGCACAGGCUCAUGGUGGCGAGCCAGUUUGAAGGACCACAAAAAUCCCAACCAGGGAUAGGUCACCAUGCAGAAAACUUUGCCAAUCCAGUAAACGUAACACGACACGUCCCCUUGGCUGUGGUAGUAAACUCGCCCAGCAUUAUCCUUGAAGAGCCCUGUGCUACUGUCACCCCACUGGGCAGCAGCAUCAACCUCAUCCUCAGUUUUGACCAACAGCCACCAGGGGGCGAUCUGCAACAGGGGCCAGUGGAGCCAAAGCAGGCAGGGGAACCUGUGCAUAGGGUGAGCACCUAUCUGCAAGUCACAGAUGGAAGUCCUGUUUUUGAAGACGUGGCAUCGUCUCAUGUUACUGACACGAGCCACGUGUCAACCACCUUUUCCACAAGCUCAAUCAACGCUACUUUCAUUCCCCAAGUCAGGACUGUCUUGCUCCCCACCUUACCCAGAACCAGUUCCACCUCUACCUUAAACCUGAAGGGACCGAUGAAGAGGAAGAAAAUGACACACAGACACACUGUGACUGGAAUUGUCGCAAUGCCCAAGCCAGAGGGGGUUACUACCGCGCCCACCAAUGUCAAACACAGGGCUUACACCUGGCCACUGGAGGAUAAGAAGGAAUGUCAUGCCACACAAGGGAGUCCAGGUAAUACAGAACUCCAACUGUAUAUCAAAAAUAAUUCUGUGGUGAGUGUCAUGGAUGGCAACUCUUCAGGCACGUCAAGCAUUCCUACCAUCCAGGGGCAUUUCUUGCAUGGGCCCAAUGAGAUGACCAUUAGGCAAGACAAGAGCCACUAUGGCAUUAUCCAUCUUGGGUCGAUGUUGAGUUUUGACCUGACUACGGAUUGCGGGAAAAUCUCACAGAUAAAUGCAAAAGACCUCACAACUGAGAAAGUGCCUUUUGAAGCCAAUGGAGACCAUGCCAGUCCACCUUUGAAUCUGUACAGACCAUCAGGCUCAAACACACUCGGUCAGACUCAAGUAUCAUCCAAAGUAAUUGGACAGACUUUUGCCCUCAGUCCAGAAAAGGAAAGGCAUCUUGAAGCUGAUGGGGACUGUAGACCGUCAGGCUCAAAUACACUCAGUCUAACUCAGAAAGUGAUUGGGCAGAAUUUCACCCUCAGUCCAGGGGAGGAAAGUAUCUGCGAAACAGUGGACUUUGCUGUUCAAAAUUGUUCACCUUUGAAUCUAUACAAAUUGGCAGACUCAAAUACACUCAGUCAGACUCACAAAGUGAUUGGACAUACUUUUGCCCUCAGUCCAAAAGAAGAAAAGAGCUGUGAAGUAGCUAGGCAGGACUCGCAGAAGGUCAGCUCAGAGUCUGUUUCUCUUUUGGUUCAGUGUCUCUCUCUACCUGAGAAAGACAACGUCUAUCAAGACCUAAAAAGCGCCACAAGGAGUCCUGCCCUUGCUGCUGGACAUGAGAACAUUUUCUCCAGCACUGUUGGCAUCCACCAUGAGGAUACGGUCGAGAUUUCCAUUCCAGUGGCUAUUUUGGACUCUAACAAGCAACGCACUGAAUCAAACUGCAGCAGCUCGAUGAUGCAUGACCACGCCCGCACUGAACCAUCACAGAACCACAACUGUUUAAGUGUUCACACUAAGAUUCAAGACCUCAAUAACCACAUAUACUUCCCUUCUGCAAAGAGGCAAUUCGCUUUCCAAAGUGACCUUCGAGUUGUAGAGAUCAAGGGCUUGUCUACUGGGUCUGAAGACUCCACAUGGAUGGGUGUGCGCAGUUCUGGACGAGUCAUUGUGUGCUAUGAGGACAACUGUUGCAUAUGCUCCGACAGUCCGGCACCUAUGAUGGUAUUGGAAAAAGAAACUUCACCCAAAAGAGAACCAGAUCAUAUUCAUCCUGAUCAUUGGCAGUUUGAGGAGGAGGAAGAGGAGCUGGAGGAUAUUUGGAAUUGCACAGCCCGGGAAAGAGCACCUUGAAUUACUGUGGUCCAAAAAUCUGAG